CUGCUAAAUGACAGUCUGCUUGUGCCAUUAUGUUUAUUUUUCAGUCUAAAGUCCCAGUGCUUGUAGAUUCUCAUGCUGGCUGCAUAGGUGUACCAGCUGGAGUGACCAAACAACAGAUUCUCAUAGCCAGAAUAUGUGGUUGCAGUCAUGAGGUGAAGGCAUCAUUUUACCUCUAACCUUGAUGAGAGCAGAGCAGUGACUCAUGCCUGGCAUCCUGAAGGAGUCUGAAGAAGAGUUGGAACGCCUUUUGAGUGAAGGGAUUAAGUCUAACAAAUCCCCAAUACCAUUGAGGAAUUGAACCGCAAACAUGGACAGAGGCUGGGAGUUGAAAUGCAAGCAUGUAGUUUCACAGAAUGAAAAACAUACAAAGCAUGAUUGUCAAUGAAUGAAUA